UUCAUUUACCUUGCUGCUGUUGUUGUUGUUUCUGCUGCUUUUGCUGUUGAUUUUGUUGGUGCCGCUGAUGAUCUUUUUUGGCCAAACAAACCGCGAAGAAGACACUCAAUACAUAAACGAUCCGUGGACAAACGUUCGAUGAAAUUGUGCUAUGUUUACGUUUUCGAGCCCAAAAGUCAACUGAUGAUUUGAACGCUUUGUCUGAGCCAUAUAAAACCCCUGCCGCCACAAUGGCCAAUCGAAGAGAAAAGCGCUGGAGAGUGGUUGGUUGGUUUGGGGGGUUGCAGCGUAGAUCAACGUAGAAAGACGUAGCAACCAGAAAAAAAAAAAAACAAAAACAUGAAACAAUUGUGUAAUUGUGGCCAGAAGAGAAA